ensembl:lincRNA
AGUAGUGCACCAGAGCUGACCUAUUUUCAAGAUCAUUAACUGUAUUUUGAAGUCUUCCAUCAGGAUGAAUAGUGGCUCAUUUUCUUCUAGGGCUUGGCUCUCUGUGGAGAAUAUGUUCACAUUUACUUUGUCCACUGAGACUCACAUGCUAAUCUCUCCUGGUCACUCCCUCAUAGUCACACCGGAAAUAAUGCUUUAUCAGUUUCUAGGUAUCCAUCCUUUUAACAGGGUACAACUGUUCUGUGAAACUUGCGGGCAGAAUUUACAGUGUGGAAAGGGGGGUCUUCCCGUCCUGGGCUCCCUGAGCAAGACAAAGCUGGUGGGGUAAAAGUCUCAGCACUGACAGUUCGUAUCCACUGUUCAUUCUAUUUAUGGUUUCUCAAAUAACGCAGAGGCAAUCUACAGUCUCUUCCCUUAAAUAUAAUCCUACCUCUGAUGCCCUCCUCCCCUUCUCUGGGACAUUACCUCAGGGAAAUUUAUAUUGAUUGUGUUUUACAGGACAGGAAGAAGUAAGGAAGUUGUGUCAGACCAAAGUGGCAGGAAAUCAAUACAAAAAUCAAGGAAAGUUGGAAGAGGCCUCUGCAUUCAUCCCAACCAGCUUUUCACACAGUGCUGGUUCCUACCUGGACGGGUGCUGGUGCAGCUGCUCUCGCCAGUGGUCUGGAUCAUUCCUUCUUGACAACACCAGAAGAUGCAGAAGGAGCAUGUUAUACAUCGCUGAUUUCCAACAUCUGUUACUCACCUCAAGAGGAGUCUACAUAUUUCACUGGGAUUCUUCAGAAGGACAAUGGUCACAUCACUACUUCUGAGAGCCCUGAGGAGUUGGGGACCCCUGGACCGUCCUUACCAGAGGCGCCUGGCAUGGAGUCUCGUGGCUUAUUUAGUUCUGAUUCUGGAAUAGAGAUGACUCCUGCAGAGUCCACUGACGUGAACAUGAUCCUAGCAGACCCUCUGGGCCAGAUGAAGGCAGAAGCCUGCAAGUACAUUGACAUCACCAGGCCAGAGGAGGUGAAAUGUCAAGGGCAACGUCUCCCUGACUUGGAGGAUAAAGACUUGGACUUUAAAAGCAAGGACACUGAAAUCUCAAUAAAACCGGGAGGCGUCCGUGAACCUGACACACCAGCUCCUGUGGAGGGGAAAGUCAUCAAGGACCACUUGUUUGAAGAAUCCACCUUUGCUCCUCACACAGAUGACUUCUCUGAGGAGCAGCAUACUCCCCUGGUGACAGCCCCCAUCAGAAUCACGCUGACUGAGACUGAGCCUGCUGUCACGACUUACAUCCAAGACAAGACCCCAGAGAAGCAGGACGUCUGUCUGAAGCCAAGUCCUGACAUGGUCCCCACUGUCACUGUCUCAGAGCCUGAAGAUGAUAGUCCAGAAUCUGUCACUCCUCCUUCUUCUAGUACAGCCAAGACUCACUGGGGUUCUGGAGCGACUUCCAAGGAAAACUGACAACAUCUGACACGUGAUCGUGGAGGGUUUCUUCUUUCCUUUCCUUUCCUGUCCUGUCCUUUCCCUUCCUAUCCUCCUUUCCCCUUCCCCCUCCCCUUUCCCUUCCCUUCCCUUCCCUUCCUUCCUUUGAGGUACCAGGAAUUAAACCCAGGGAAUUAAACUCUCCCACUGAGCCACUCUCCCAGUCCUUUUUUAUCUUAUUUUUUUAAUUUUGAGAACAGGGUCUGGCUAAGCUGCCCAGGCAGGACUUCCACUUGCAAUCCUCUUGCCUCAGCCGCCCAAAACUCUGGCAUGACAGGCAGAUCUGGGAGUUUUCUCAUCUUGGGUUCCCCACGUUACAGUAUGAGAGGAGGGCACACUGAUUUUUUUCUGCAAUUACAUCAGAAUACACACUUGUAUCACGAUUGAUUCAAGGAUGGCCCGGGGUUUAGCUCAGCGGCACCGUGCUUGCCUCGAAGUGUGAGGUCAUAGGUUCGAUCCCCGGUAACAAAAAAAACAAAAAAGAUUGAUUCACAGAGGAGGAAGUCCCCUUACCCAUGACAGUUCUCGUCUCUGUCCAGCUCCUCCCUCCCUGCGUUCCCCACGCUGAAACACCUGAGUUUAUGACAACACAUAAGGAAGAAAUUAACAGGGGCACCAGGAGGAGGCCACUGGCUUGGAAGACUUUCCCCUACUUCUUUUUAAUCCCAAGACGUUGCCCUACCCU